rnacentral:rRNA from 1 species
GGAAAACUUACCAGGUCCAGAGAUGUAGAGGAUUGACAGAUUGAAGCUCUUUCUUGAUCACUUCGGUGGUGGUGCAUGGCCGUUCUUAGUUGGUGGAGUGAUUUGUCUGGUUAAUUCCGUUAACGAACGAGACCUCAGCCUGCUUUUGUAGUUAUGGCUAUCUUUUGCUAGUUUUGUAACUUCUUAGAGGGACAAUCGGUUUUUCGCCGAUGGAAGUUUGAGGCAAUAA